rnacentral:lncRNA from 1 species
AGUAUUUGAGGACCACAGAAUUGUUCAUUUUUCUGGAGUUCCAUUAGAGUUUCAAGAAGGGGUGGCACAUUAUACUGGCACUGAAAAUAGAGAUGUAGGGGCCCACAGGAGAAUGGACCAGUAAGGGCUGUGCAGAGCAACAACCAUAAUUGUUAAGGCUGUCAUUGAAUAUUCGCAUGCCUUUACCUUUCCGAAUUAACUAUGCGCAGUUCAUUUUUUUCUGUCAAGCAACCAUUUAAUAAAGUUACUACACACAGAAUGUGAAACUGGAUAGCUCAGUGUUUUAAUUCUCAUAUUUAAGACUCAACUUGUUAAAAACAAAACAAAACCCAACUAGGUAGGGCCUGUGAUCUAAUAGCAACUACUCUCAAUCUUGAGAACACAAAGGGAGGGGUGUCAGAUGUCCAUGGUGGGGAAUGGUAUCUUAGUGACUAUUAACUGUGAUGAAACACUGACCAAAGCAACUUGGGGAGGAAAGGGUUUAUUCGGCUUAUAUUUCCAUAUCACACUGUUCAUCGUCAAAGGAACUCAAACAGGGUGGGAACCUGGAGGCAGGAGCUGAUGCAGAGGUCAGGGAAAAAGUCUCCUUACCGCCAUGGAACCCAGGACUGCCUGUUCAGGAAAGGCACCACCCAUAAUAGGCUGGGUCCUCCUCCACCAAUCACUAAUUCAGGAGAUGUCCUAUAGGCUAACCUAUGGCCAGAUUGGAUGGGGGCAUUUUCUUAAUUGAUUCCUCCUCCCUGGUGACUCUAGCUUGUGUCAAAUUGGCAUAAAAUUUGCCAGUACAAACGGGUUCAUUCUCAAAGCAUAGGUCAGUCCCCUGUAAUUCUGCCACACAAAUAUAUGUAGUGGGGAAGGAGACUCUUAUAAUCUACACUCUUCUCAUUUCAAGAAGCAAAAGGCUAGUGAGGCCUCAUUUACUACGAGUUUAUGGAUGAGUAUAAUUUUCUUAGCAUGUAAUGACAAAUUCUCACAAAUACUAUAUCACCCACUAAGUGUUGAGUGCCGCAAUAAAUCAGAUUGUUAUAAAACCACUUAAUUGAGGGGAGGGGCUUUAGGCUGAAACAGCUGAGCAAGUCCCUUGAGUUCCUAGUUAGCCAAUCAGAACCAGUCAGCUAAUCUCUAAGCAGGUGUCUUAGGGCUUCUUUGGCUGUGAAUUAGCACCAUGACUGCAAAACUUAUAAAGGAAAACAUUUCAUUGGAGUUGGCUUACAGUUCCGAGGUUUAAUCCUUAUCAUCAUGGCAGCAUCCAGGCAGCCGUGAUGCUGGCGAGGGAGCUCAGAGUUCUAAGCAGCAGGGCAAAGACUGAGCCACUCUAGACCGAGCUUGAGCAUGGGAGACCUCAAAGCCCAUCCCCACAGUGACACACUUCCUCCAACAAGGCCACACCUGUUAAUGUGUCACUUCCUAUGGGACAAGCAUGUAAACACAUGACUCCAUGAGGGCCAUUCCCAUUCAAACUACCACAGUAGGAAAGAUCCACCGGACCAGAAACUAAAAGUAACAGCUAUCCAUUGCCAAACAGCUAAUUCUUUCUCUCCCAAAACUUUAAUUUCUGAUCUUAAUGAUCUGAGUGCUACUAGUGACCCUUGCUCAAAGAAACGUUAAUGCACCUAAAUUUUUCUUUUUAAAAAAUGUCCAGUUUCCACAGUAGGCAGUCUACAAAAAUACUGUCACUAUUUUUCUAAACAAUGUAUGCAAACACAAGCAUUUAAAUAUCUAUGUCUCAAAACCAAAUAUAAGUUUAAGACCCAUCAACUGUUCCUUCUUUGUACAAAUUUUUUGAGACUGGACCCCCUGACAUCGCUGACCCCCAGGUCCAGCCACUGUCAUCAACUUCGGUCACGCGAUUUUACCAAUGCUUCGUGGUAAGUCCGUAAGCUUUAUACGCCAUUCUGCUGGGUUAAAGAAAAAUGGACUCAAAUAGCUGUUUUUGCCGCUUUCCUGGGUGGGUGACUGUCCAUAAACGAAAGAACUAAUCCGUACCAAGUACAAAGGUUAGCAGAACAUCCUGCUUUCGGAUGUACUUUUGGAGGUGGACACUUUCCUACUAAAUGUGCAUUGCCUUGGAAACCGAGAACCGGUUCUCCUACCCUCCCCGCAGGUGGCUGAGCGGUUAGCGGGAGGAGCUGGCCUCGGGAAUCUGAUGAGGCAGGAGCAUUACACAGUCUGCGGCCUGGGAAGUUGCCCAACCUCUGAAGGAAAUCUAAAAAGAGGAAGACUCUGGUGGUUAAGGCUACUCAGUGAGCGCACAACUUCUACAGCCUUGAGUAUCAGACCGACGGGCAAAUGAGUGCUGACCUCGAAGUCGGGACGGUGGCGGAUCGGUUGGCAGAGAGCAGCCUCGGAGCACGGGCAGUCCCCGGCCGAGAGCCGUGCCAACAGCGGCAGCAGCAGCAGAGUGAAUUCCGGGAGGCCACACAGCGCCAUGCCUGGGGUGGAGGCUGCGGGAAUGACGCCUCUUGAAGGGCGGGCCCUGAUGUCCUAUGGGCAGGCGGGGCGGAGUCUCUGCUGAGGGGCGUGGCCUGAUGCUAAACGGAGAGCGACCCAGCCUGCUGCUUGGUAGGUGGGCCCUAGAAGGCGGGGCUGAUGCUGGACUUUGUGGAGAAGUGGGACUUGCAGCCAAUUGACUGGGAUCCCACCCCGGCUGCUGGGGGCACUACCUAUGAGUAAAUGUAAGAUGUGACAGGGGUCUUCCUUACACUCCAGUGCUAGGAAGGGCUAGGUAAACAGUCUUGACCCGGGUAACUCGCAGGUAACUCUACCACUUUUAUUCUCUCCAUCACUCUACAUCACUCUACACCAUUUCAUGAUUGUGUGGUCUGAACGUUUUCUGCUCAUUCAUCUUACAAUUGAUUUUGAAUCUCUUGCUUGGCGUUGCUCCCCGCACCCCACCCCUGCCAAUAUAGCUCAGCACAGUGCUUGGCUUGUAGUAAAUAGUACGUUCACUGUAAAACUCCAAGAGCUCCUGUUUUCUUUUUUUAAACUUCAAUCGGUUUGAGACCAUUCUUUUCCAAGUCUCUACACAGGGUAUUUUUUAAAAUGUAAAAUGGACGGGUGAUAUUAUUGUCAAUUUACCAGAUGUUUGGUUAAGUGUGUAUUGUGAUUUUCCAGCAUUAAAUAAAGAGAAUUUAAAG